AACGCACGAGACCUGCGGACCUGCGGAGGGAUCAUUAAAGAGUUGAAAAACUCACCCAAAACCACCGUGAACAUACCUCAUAACCGUUGCCUCGGCAGGCGGCCCCAGGGCGGGGCCGUGGCCUGUAAUAAUGGCGCCUGCCGGGGGUUUUUAAAACUUCUGUUAUUUCUGUCAGCUUCUGAGUCGGGAAAAACAAACCCAGUCAAAACUUUUAACAAUGGAUCUCUAGAUCGGAAGAGC
rnacentral:misc_RNA from 1 species